ensembl:snRNA U6 U6 spliceosomal RNA
GUGCUCGCUUUGACAGCACAUAUACUGAAAUUGGAAGGAUACAGAAGAUUAGCAUGGCCCUGCACAAAGAUGACACGCAAAUUCGUGAAGCAUUCCUGAGGAGA